UGCUCUCUAAAGUGCCCAGUAUCAGAAGACACUGGAACCAGCAAACCUUGUGAGAACUCGAAGAUGAAGAAAUCCGAAUCUCUUUCUUCCUUAUCUGGGUUGACAAUCUUAAGAAACAAGGCUCCUAGGUGGCAUGAGCACCUGCAAUGCUGGUGCUUGAAUUUUCAUGGUCGGGUUACAGUAGCAUCUGUUAAAAACUUUCAACUCGUCGCUACUAUUGACCAUAGCCAGCCAGGAGGUAAAGGGGAUGAAGAAACAGUUCUACUACAGUUUGGAAAGGUAGGCGACGAUAUGUUUACUAUGGAUUAUAGGCAGCCAUUAUCAGCUUUCCAGGCUUUCGCCAUUUGCCUUACGAGCUUUGGCACGAAGCUGGCGUGCGAAUAGUAGUAUAUUUUUCCAAAAUUUGUUUAAGAAAAUGGGGCUUCAUUGAUGAAAAAAAAAGGCUUUUCUUUGUACAUGGUGCUAUUAUUGUGUAAUUGUGACCACUUAAAAAAAAAUUGAAAUUCAGAGCAACAAAACAAUAUUGUGUGCUAGCAAG
rnacentral:misc_RNA from 1 species